AAAGUGAUACUGACAACAAAAUAAUUCUUUUAAAAAAACAAAUCUACCCCCAAACAUACCUAUAAGUCAUGUGGACCAUUUUUUCCUGAAAGGGCUUGUUCUCUAAAUAAAAACUUUAUAAGAUGCUGGACCCGACUGUCUGCCAAACCCGACUGUAUCUUCUCAGCCUGUCUGUCAAAACAGGAGCAGGCUGACGUCAGUUACUGGGAGGAUCCUCCCCUUUUCUUUUCCCUUACUUUCGGCAGCAUAAUAAAUCAUGUGACCCUGACAUGUGACUUGUUAUCUCCUCUCCGGAUCUUUAGCGUAACGCUGCUGGACUGCCUGCAAGUAAUACUGCCUAUACCUUUCUGGCCCCGCUGCCUGGAUAAAGGGAAAUGUUUUGCCCCUCGCUUGCGCUACUGCAGAAGCCAUAGGAACAAUGGAGAGGUAUAAAGCUGAAGGUGCAGAUAUAAGAGGGAAACAUACAAAGUGUCUGUGCCGUCGCGCUCUCUCGUCUCUCGGCAGGUGACUCUGCGCUUCAUUAAGCGCGGCGACGCUAAUUAUAUGCCGGCUUUGCAGUAUGUUUUGUACUCUCUCUGCCUCACUAACUUAAUAAGGCCACACAGACGCUCAGGAACCUAAUGGGCUGUCUCGUGCCUCUCCUGGACAUCUCAAUGGGAACGUCACAUUUCACGAGUCGGCUCCAAGGUCUCUCAAACCUUGUGACUUGUCUUGUUUCACACAUAGAAAUACAAGUCUCUUCUAGGCACCCACGUAUAUGCACCCUGAACCCAAGGGCCACCCACAACUGGCAGCUGGGGCAAGAAAUACUCGGACUGGAAGCAGCAGUAAUUGGGCACUUCAAUGCGGUCUGGCACUGGUGAGGGGCACAUAGUGAAUGGGGAGCCACAGAGGGACCCUUCCCAGACAGAGGGGGGGGCACAUACAGAAUGGGGAGACACAGAG